GAUUUAAAUUUAACCUUGUAUCUUUAAAUGAUGGUAAACAUUUAAAGUUACAAAGGUCUAAGUUAACUUAAGGAAAUAGUUAUACCACCCAGUCCUUCCUGUAAGCUGUUUACAAACCUAAAGCUUCUAUUAUAUGCUACACAGACUUUCCUCUAGAGACCUAGAGGAUAUGACAUUUAAAAUGUCUCAUUAAAAAGCUUUUUAUAACAGAGAGACAGGCCAACUGCUGGCCCCACCCCAUUUCCUUCAAGAAAACUGGUGGGCACUGAAGACACCCCACCCACAAAAGUGACAAUGCUGGCCAUUAAACAGCCCUGCCUUUCACCUCAACUGCUGCAAAGGACUCUCAGACCUUGGACAAGAGGACAGUGGAAUGGACUUUCUCCAUGUUGCUUGGGCCAAUGGCAGGAAAGCCUUCCUAGAGUUCCUGGUCCACAGGUCCCAUGCUAUCAGCAGAAGGCAGGUGUCCUUAAAGCCUUUUGCCUUCAACAGCUAUGGAGGACCUUGUGGGUGGCUGUCUAUGUGGCCAGCCAGCAAGUCUCUGUUAUUCUCUAAUCAUUAACUCAGGUCUACAGAGGCGCCAGAGAGUUCCACACAGCCUGCACUGCAAUGAAACAUGGAGCAAGUCCAGGACACGGCAGCACCCCAACUUUCUCAGGCCCCCCCAAAGAUGGUCAACGCCCCCCCCCCGUCAGCAGGAAGCAGUCUUGAGAGCUCGGCGUCCUUAUUCCCUAACCCACCACGCCUAGCUCCCCACCUUUCUAAUAAUAAGCACAGGUGGGCAUUAAAGGUUCAGGCAUUACGCUGGCCCGCCCCUGCUACCUGGCAGAAUGCACUCAGGCAGCACUCUGGCCAGCCCAGGGUUCCACUGGAGCUAGUCUGCACACAGGUGCAAAGGACCCCUUUAAAAGACAGACCCCGCCCACUUACGCUGUCUCCUCUCUUUGCUCUCUUCUCUUACCCUCUUCAUCUCUUCUCGUCUCCCCCUCCCCUCCCCCACCUGGAAUAAACUCUGUGACCAACGCA